UUAAUUGAAGAGUUUGAUCAUGGCUCAGAUUGAACGCUGGCGGCAGGCCUAACACAUGCAAGUCGAACGGUAACAGGGAGCAGCUUGCUGCUCUGCUGACGAGUGGCGGACGGGGGAGGAAUGUCUGGGAAACUGCCUGAUGGGGGGGGGUAACUACUGGAAACGGGAGCUAAUACCGCAUAACGUCUACGGACCAAAGGGGGGGACCUUCGGGCCUCAUGCCCACAGAUGUGCCACGAUGGGGUUGGCUGUACGUGGGGGUAAAG
rnacentral:rRNA from 1 species